AAUAAACGCUGGCGGCGUGCCUAACACAUGCAAGUCGAGCGAGAAAGUCCUUCGGGAUGAGUAAAGCGGCGGACGGGUGAGGAAAGCGUGAGAAUCUACCCUCUAGUGAAGAAUACCCUCGAGAAAUCGAGGUUAACACUGCAUACGUCCCUUCGGGGAGAAAAGUGGCCUCUUUGCUACUGCUAGAGGAUGAGCUUGCGUGCUAUUAGCUAGUUGGUGGGGUAAUGGCCUACCAAGGCGAUGAUGGCUAGCCGGCCUGAGAGGGUGUACGGCCACAUUGGAACUGAGACACGGUCCAGACUCCUACGGGAGG
rnacentral:rRNA from 1 species